rnacentral:lncRNA from 1 species
CAAAAAAUACAGUAGUCUUCUCAUGGAAAUCCCUCUAACCCUGGAUCUACUGUACACACUCAUUAUUUCAGUUUCCCCACCCCUUCAAUUAUCAUGCAUUUUUAUUCAAAUACAAUGUAAAGCUUCAGCUGAUUUGAAUAGUGUUAGAAACCACAGAAGGGGCUUUCUUUAGAACAUUAAAUGGGGACUGCCUUUCUUGAAUCCAACCUUCUUGAAUAUCACAACUGUUUCUAUCCUGUUUCUAGAGAAAAAGUUCCAUUUUCACAUCUGUCUCUUGCAAAGACAUAACAUGUGCAUAGAAGUAAACUCUGUUAUGCGCCACUGAAGGAUUCAGUAUCUGGAGUCUGAGGGCAUUUUUCUUUAUGUCUACAAUGAGAGAAAUUGGACUAGCUGAGCCUACAGUGCUUCUACUGCAAAAAUGCUGAAAGCAACAGUGUGUUCAGCAAGCUGGAACUAAACUGUUACUGAAUGGAGAGUUCCCAUCCUGCCUCAGUGGAAUCAAAGAAAAGAGAAAGGCUCCAAAAUGAACACAAUGCGUGUUAUUUGCUACCAUAAACUGUGCAACUGGUUUCUACUGCUGUGUUGCAAUUGAAUAGUAAUCAGGAGAAGUUACACGUUGUUCUUAGAAAUAAUACAACGAAUCCUGUCAAUCUUAAGUCCUGACACUGAAUUUAACGCUCUCUGUUUAGUCCUACCAUCAAGGAUGAUUUGCAGGUGAAGAAUUCUUGAUAGUCAGAUGCAGACUACGUCUUCAGAUCCUAUGGCCUAAGGUUAUUAAGGUGGGAGAAGCAAAACAAAUGCGGUUCUCAUCCAGUAAUAAUGGAUUUACAAGAAUUUGAAACAAAACUUUCCUUCCAGCUACUGCUUUCAUGUCAGAGAAAUAAAAUACAUGUACAAGAUUUAAAGCUUUAUGUGUCUAACCCUUUCUGACCCCUUUUACAUUCAGUUAUUAAUAAUAAUAACUAUGAUAAUAUUGCUUAUGCCCAGGGCUGAAAUGAGGGUUAAUUAGUUAAUAUUUAUAAAGCUUUCUGAAAAUGAAAAGUACUGUUUAAGCCCUAAGUGUAUUCUUUUCUUCUUUCACUCUCUUCUUUCAUUUCCUUCUUUUAUCACAGAUCAAUUGAUUCUUCCUCCCAUCUGGCUAAUUUUUUUCACUGGUUAUAUUUCCUGCUCGUUUUGGAUUAUUGCCCUUGACUCCACAUUGACCUCAAUCACUCUUACCCUUCAACAUUGUGUUUGCUCUUUUUGCCUCCCACGCUUUAGUCACUUCUUUCUCACUUUCAUUUCUUCUUUCUAGUCUUCCUUUAUCCACUCCUAACACUAAUCUCGUAGCUGUAGACUUAUCUUUUUCAUUGUCCUCAUUUUUUAAGCAUAGGUGAAAUACCGGAAUUGAUAUAGAUUUAAUUUAAUUUUAUCUCCUAUGUUAUGCAUUAUUGAGACCAGAAAGUAGAUAAAUCAAAUUGGUCAUACCCAAUCCUUUCCUACAAGAUAGUAAAUGUUUUGAAGUCACAGACUAUUGCCAUCUGGAAUAGUCCUUCUUUUGUAACCCAGUAUAAUCUCCACAAAAAUGUUAUUUUUAAAAAAUCCCUCCACUCUAUAACAUUCUGAUGACCUGUAAGCUUUCAAGAAGUCUUCAGUGAAAACCUGUCUCUACUAAAAAUACAAAAAAUUAGCCGGGUGCGGGUGUCGGGCGCCUGUAAUCCCAGCUACUCAGGAGGCUGAGGCGGGAG